AAAACCCGCCUUCCGAGCAUGUUCAGAUCUUUAUCACUACAAGCAAAUUCACUCUGGGACUGGGGUUUUUGUUGUUGUUGUUGCUCUUUUUAAAAGGAAAGGCUAGAGUAUGCUAACUUGGGAUUACCCCCUUCCCUGUCGCCCCCGGUUUCUCCCCUCCUCCUGCCAAAGCUUUCCAUGAUCUGUAUGAAAUGCAAGAGAAGGCAGAUUGAACAGGCGAUGGCGAGGGUUUAGCCAUCCUUUUCUCCAUCCCCAGCAACGACAGCUACCCGAGCCAGGAACAGCCAUACGUCCCUUUUACUUUAUCGACUCACUGCAUCUUGAUAUUAUAAAAUCUCUUUCAUUAACUUAAAAAGAGACAACAUCUGAGGAGCGGCCCCAAACCCCGAUUUGGGAAAUCACUCCCGAAAGUAUCAAAUGUGGGGCUAAUUAACUUACAGGCGCUUGGGGCCAAAUGUGGGGCAGGAGAGGGCAGCCCGUUUUAGGCUCGGUGGCUUCAGAAACCUACUGCUUUCCAAGUUCGAUUUCCCACCCCCGGCUCGUUAGGGAGAUGAUGAGUUCUUCUGGGCAGGCCGAUGCAGAUUCCUGAACUGCCGCUCCCUAAACAGACCGCUGUGUAGACCAAACUAGCCGCUUCCAUCUGACAGGUGGGGGGAAUCCAGCAGGCUCGGGAACUACUUCCAGACACGCGUUGAAGACAAGACAAUUGUAUCCAUGUGUCACUAACUGAACUUUCCCUCUUUAUCACGAUCUCUGUCUCUCUUUUUCUUAUUGUUAUCAAGGUGGAAACCGCCGGCGACCUGUUCCUGGAAAGGACCUCCUCCUGCCUCGCCUCCUUUUCGACGCGGCGCCAGAACGCUGCACACAGGCAGACGCCCCUCCGCUGCUCCCCAGGUUUCACGGUCUUUCGGCUUUGAUUUGAUGUGGCAGUGGCAGCCCUCUCCUUCUCCCACGGAAGUGAUAGUGGAACUUCCGGAGGAGGGAUACCAAGCAGGGUAGCAUUUGACGGGAGAACGAAUAUGUCUGCCGCAUUUCUGUGUAUGUGGCACAGAAUCUACUGAUGCCCUUGCAAAGGACAACGUCCAGCAUCCACGGCUGACUGAGAUCUGCCCCUUCCCCCAAAUAUGGAGGCCCUCUAUUUCUCCAGGGAUCGAGUGGCUCUCGGGCGGAUGCACAGAAAGGACUCCACACCUUGCACUGAACACACAAAGUAACGUCGUAGCCUAACAACUUCUGGGCCACUUCGCCAUUCUGCAGCCAAAACAUCAUCGCCACCUGGGUUCCUACAGCAGAAACCGUUUCGAAACCCACUUUAUGAAUGGGAUGAAAUUAAAACUAGGUUGAAGAGGUGGGAUGAGACAAUCUAGUAUUUUGGAACUCCAAAAGCAACAUAAUUCGAAAGACUCUGGUCUUCUCUUCGCCCUACUUGCAAAGAAUAAACACAUUUGGGGCCUUCCUCUGAAAAGUGCCAGCAAUUACAGAGCUGGUCCGAGCCCGCCAGGGUCCUCCGCGUAGCUGGGAGGUCUUAGACUCCUGUGAUCUGUUGAGAGAGGGCUAAUGACUGGUGGGAGACGAGAAGGUCGGAAAUGAGAUAGAAUCAAGGAAAAAUAAUUUGGACAUCAGGAAGCCUGUAUUUAAGCUGCUUGAAGAAGAAACGUGCUUUAACUUUAGGGCUCCGCCUAGGACUAUUUCCUCCCACCACGGGCAUUUCGGGGGUCACUGUUAACCCUCUAAAUGCCUAAUAGAAGCAAGUUUCUUGUGUUGUGUCCUCGACCAGAAAUAGUUACGGGUCUCGUGUCUAUCUGAACCAUAUGCUCAAUACAUGUAUAUCUUAUGGUGCAAUCAAUGUUCUCUGCAUACUGACAUGGGAGCAACUGAACUCGAUGGGGUUUACUUCCAAAUAUACAAAACUAUGCACCUCAUAUACAAGAAAAUUCUUACAUACACGCAUCUUGUAUACAAGAAAAAUCUGCUUCCCUUUCCUAUUGUAAUGAACAACACACACACACACACACACACACACACAAGCAGAACCCAACGGUGGAUUCCCCUGCAGAGCAUAAUAUUCAUCCCAAACUCAUUACUUGGAAAGAAGUCCCAUAAAUUCUAAUAAGCUUUGGUUUUGAUUGCAGAUGUUUUUAAUGUGGAGUUGUUUGUUUGGAAUUUCCCGCGAUUUGUUUCAAUGAUUUAGAAAUAACCCGGUUUUCUAAUAUCUUCCCUGCCUGAUAUGUUUGGGAAGCGUUGAAAACGUGUUAGCAGCUGCGUUUAAAUAAAGUGUUAUUUAUUUAAGA